rnacentral:rRNA from 1 species
GACGAACGCUGGCGGCGUGCUUAACACAUGCAAGUCGAGCGAUGAAGCUCCUUCGGGAGUGGAUUAGCGGCGGACGGGUGAGUAACACGUGGGUAACCUGCCUCAUAGAGGGGAAUAGCCUUUCGAAAGGAAGAUUAAUACCGCAUAAGAUUGUAGUACCGCAUGGUACAGCAAUUAAAGGAGUAAUCCGCUAUGAGAUGGACCCGCGUCGCAUUAGCUAGUUGGUGAGGUAACGGCUCACCAAGGCGACGAUGCGUAGCCGACCUGAGAGGGUGAUCGGCCACAUUGGGACUGAGACACGGCCCAGACUCCUACGGGAGGCAGCAGUGGGGAAUAUUGCACAAUGGGGGAAACCCUGAUGCAGCAACGCCGCGUGAGUGAUGACGGUCUUCGGAUUGUAAAGCUCUGUCUUUAGGGACGAUAAUGACGGUACCUAAGGAGGAAGCCACGGCUAACUACGUGCCAGCAGCCGCGGUAAUACGUAGGUGGCAAGCGUUGUCCGGAUUUACUGGGCGUAAAGGGAGCGUAGGUGGAUAUUUAAGUGGGAUGUGAAAUACCCGGGCUUAACCUGGGUGCUGCAUUCCAAACUGGAUAUCUAGAGUGCAGGAGAGGAAAGGAGAAUUCCUAGUGUAGCGGUGAAAUGCGUAGAGAUUAGGAAGAAUACCAGUGGCGAA